rnacentral:lncRNA from 14 species
CUUGGCAUUAAAUGUCUGACUGUAAAAGGCCAGUCAGUAACUAGGUUUGUGAUUAUACACUGAGAUAUUUAUACAGCUCUCCAGUAACACGGUACAUGAGCACCUCGUGGCUAUUUAUCCUUAUAAACUUCCCACUACAAGCAGGAUUUCUGUCUCACAGAUCAACAGCUAAGGCCCAGCUUCAACCGACUGAUUUGCCCAAGAUACUGCAUCUGUGGCAGGGCUGGGAACCAAAUCUAUGUUUUUUGAAUCAUACACUAAAAGUUUAAUCUUUGUCAGUUAAAGCAAAAAUGUGCCUUCCCCCUGCCCUUCAUAGAGUGUGGUACUUUACCAUGAGCCUCUGCAAAAAAAAUCAAAACACUUCAACUGAAUAUGGUGCUGUAGUUUGGCAUUGCAUUGUAUAGUGUAAUCUAUCCAGAUAUGCAGGUGAUUGACUUACUGCAAAGAUCUCAGCUCCACUCAAGUGCUCGAUAUCUAUAUCUCUUUGAGAUUAUGAAGACUCAAGGCUUCCUCACUAGUUCAAGUGCAGGGGUGCAAUUGCACCUGCAUACCUCCACCCAGUUGUGGCCUUCAAGUUCACUGGUGAGUGCCUGUUACAACUGUUUAUGUAGGUAAGUUGUCAAUAGGUAUGUAAAUACCUUCCUAGUGACAAACUUGGAAGGAUGCAGAGAUAUAGUUGUUUUAGGGCUCCACUAUACUGCAAAUCUUUAAUUUGUUAGUAUUUUCCACAGGCCUUAUCCUUCAAGCAUUUGCUUUUUUACAUGAUCAAUUCCUUAAAGAAGUGAAGGAAAAGAGCCAGGGACUGUGAUCCUGUCUGGAAAGCUUGUUUCUACUUCUUAUUUCUUCUCAGUUUUCCCUCUCCCUGGCCUCCCUCCCAGCAAUGACAGAGGACUAGUGAGGAACCCUCUAACUGGUAUUCUGCAAAGUCAGUGUGAACUGAUUGCUCUGGCCUGUUGCUGGAAAACUUUUCCCUAUUCAGAUAUAAUCGGAUUGCCCGUUCACAGGGCAUUUAAAAAAGCUUAAGCAGUUUGGCUUCUCAAGUUCAAUUUUGAUUAUUUCUGUUCUUACUUUGCUGCUGAGUUCUGCAGUUAGGCAGUUCCUUGGGAUGGCAGAUUAAGAAGUUCUGCAACAACUGGACUCAGAACAGCUUAUGCCAUUUAAGAAAUUUUCCAAUGAUUAAAAUUGGACACAAG